rnacentral:lncRNA from 1 species
UUGUUGUGGGUCCGAAUCAAUCCAUUCGUGUCAAGAGAUGGACUCGUGCUAGAAGUAUGUGGUUUGGAUUGCGAGUAAGAUGUAGAAAUAGGAGACGAAGUGUAUAUGAGAAGGAAAAGUUCAAGUCGGGGAAGAAGUUCAAUCCCGUAACACUAUUGUUUUGAUCAUCAAUGAAAAUGAGGAAGAGCUUUGGUGGUUGUGUAUAGAUUUAAGGCAGGUAGCAGACACAUUGAUAUAUUUGUUUUGAUCAUCAAUGAAAAUGAGGAAGAGCUGUGGUGGUUGUGUAUAGAUUAAAAGGCAGGUAGCAGACACAUUGAUAUAUUUGUUUUGCAAAGUGUUUCUUGAUUCUUUUUUGAUACAUUUUGGGAUUUGUUGGUUGGGAGUUGGAAGGGAGUGUUCCAAUAUUUGUAAUCCCAACAGAAGAUAAGAUUACUUGUCAUAAGUUAUAUCCCCUUCUCAAUAAGGGAUAUCACACGGAAAUGUUUUUUUAUCAAGGACUUUGUUCCUCUCUUGCCAUUCUAAAGGAAGUGAAAUUGGAUUCUGGUGUUUUCUUCUAUAAUUUUUCUUUUUUGCUGUAACAUU